UACGAAGGGGGCUAGCGUUGCUCGGAAUCACUGGGCGUAAAGGGUGCGUAGGCGGGUCUUUAAGUCAGGGGUGAAAUCCUGGAGCUCAACUCCAGAACUGCCUUUGAUACUGAAGAUCUUGAGUUCGGGAGAGGUGAGUGGAACUGCGAGUGUAGAGGUGAAAUUCGUAGAUAUUCGCAAGAACACCAGUGGCGAAGGGCGGCUCACUGGCCCGAUACUGACGCUGAGGCACGAAAGCGUGGGGAAGCAACAGGGA
rnacentral:rRNA from 1 species